CGGCAACAGCUCAAAUUUGAAAUCUGGCUCUUUCAGGGUCCGAGUUGUAAUUUGUAGAAGAUGCUUUGGGUGUGGCUCCGGUCUAAGUUCCUUGGAACAGGACGUCAUAGAGGGUGAGAGCCCCGUCUGGUUGGAUACCGAUCCUCUGUAAAGCUCCUUCGAC
rnacentral:rRNA from 1 species